rnacentral:rRNA from 1 species
UACGUAGGGGGCGAGCGUUGUCCGGAAUCAUUGGGCGUAAAGAGCUCGUAGGCGGCUCAGUAAGUCAGGUGUGAAAACUCCAGGCUCAACCUGGAGACGCCACUUGAUACUGCUGUGGCUAGAGUCCGGUAGGGGAGCAUGGAAUUCCUGGUGUAGCGGUGAAAUGCGCAGAUAUCAGGAGGAACACCAGUGGCGAAGGCGGUGCUCUGGGCCGGAACUGACGCUGGAGGCGACGGAAAGCCGUGGGGAGCAAACGGG